AAAGAAUUGGAAAGGAAUUAGCUUCUUGAUUGAAGAAGGAAAAGGGGAUUUGGGAUUUUAAUUUACCAAUUUAACCCCUUUGAUCUCGAAGAGGAAGAAUCCUCGUAUCCAUGCCAAAGUUAAUGGUUCACCUUCUCAUGAAACAUUGACCCAUGGAUCCUGAAAGCAAGAAGUUUGAAAGAGGACCAAGAGAGUGGAAAGUGGAUAAUUUGAAAG
rnacentral:misc_RNA from 1 species